AUGAACCACUGGCUGAGAAACAUCCUGAUUCUGACUCUCUGGCUAGAGUGUAAAGGAGAAGACAGAGUGACCCAGCCAGCAGGAGAUGUCAUUGCUGCUGAAGGAGACACAGUUACACUUGACUGUACUUUUGAGACAAGUAGCACAGGUCCAACUUUGUUCUGGUACAAACAGGAUGGAAACAACAGCCCCACAUUCAUACUGAACCGCGUUCAACAGGAUGAUGGGAAAACAAAGGAAGAGUUUAAAGAAAGAUUUUCAUCCACACUGGAUUCCACCUCAAGAUCAGUUCCUCUGAAGAUCCAGAAGCUUCAGCUGACUGACUCUGCUGU